rfam:Ciona savignyi cont_65799, whole genome shotgun sequence.
AAAACGGCUCUUUUUAGAGCCACCUCAUUUUUUAAAAAGAGGCUCA